ACUCAAAUGAAUUGACGGGGGCCCGCACAAGCAGUGGAGUAUGUGGUUUAAUUCGAAGCAACGCGAAGAACCUUACCAGGGCUUGACAUCCCUUGAAGUUAGUAGAGAUACUAACGUCCUUCGGGACAAGGAGACAGGUGGUGCAUGGUUGUCGUCAGCUCGUGUCGUGAGAUGUUGGGUUAAGUCCCGCAACGAGCGCAACCCCUGUGGUUAGUUGCCAGCAUUAAGUUGGGCACUCUAGCCAGACUGCCGGCGAUAAGUCGGAGGAAGGUGGGGACGACGUCAAAUCAUCAUGCCCUUUAUGUCCUGGGCAACACACGUACUACAAUGGCCGUAACAGAGGGAAGCGAAGGAGCAAUCCGGAGCGAAUCCCUAAAAAGCGGUCUCAGUUCAGAUUGUGGGCUGCAACUCGCCCACAUGAAGUAGGAAUUGCUAGUAAUGGCAGAUCAGCAUGCUGCCGUGAAUACGUUCCCGGGCCUUGCACACACCGCCCGU
rnacentral:rRNA from 1 species